CCUACGGGAGGCAGCAGUGAGGAAUAUUGGUCAAUGGGCGGGAGCCUGAACCAGCCAAGUCGCGUGAGGGAAGACGGUCCUAUGGAUUGUAAACCUCUUUAGGCGGGGAGCAAUGCCGGGCACGCGUGCCCGGAGGGAGAGUACCCGCAGAAUAAGCAUCGGCUAACUCCGUGCCAGCAGCCGCGGUAAUACGGAGGAUGCGAGCGUUAUCCGGUUUUAUUGGGUUUAAGGGGUGCGUAGGCGGAUUUUUAAGUCAGCGGUAAAAUGUCCGGGCUCAACCCGGGCCGGCCGUUGAAACUGGGGAGCUUGAGUGUGCGAGAAGUAUGCGGAAUGCGUGGUGUAGCGGUGAAAUGCAUAGAUAUCACGCAGAACUCCGAUUGCGAAGGCAGCAUACCGGCGCCCGACUGACGCUGAGGCACGAAAGCGUGGGGAUCGAACAGGAUUAGAUACCCCAGUAGUC
rnacentral:rRNA from 1 species